UGCGUAGGCGGACUAAUAAGUCAGUGGUGAAAUCUCUCGGCUCAACCGGGAAACUGCCAUUGAUACUGCUAGUCUUGAGUUCGGUUGAGGUAGGCGGAAUGUGUAAUGUAGCGGUGAAAUGCUUAGAUAUUACACAGAACACCAAUUGCGUAGGCAGCUUACUAGACCGACACUGACGCUGAGGCACGAAAGCGUGGGUAGCGAACAGGAUUAGAUACCCUGGUAGUCC
rnacentral:rRNA from 1 species